UACGUAGGUGGCAAGCGUUAUCCGGAAUUAUUGGGCGUAAAGCGCGCGUAGGCGGUUUUUUAAGUCUGAUGUGAAAGCCCACGGCUCAACCGUGGAGGGUCAUUGGAAACUGGAAAACUUGAGUGCAGAAGAGGAAAGUGGAAUUCCAUGCGUAGCGGUGAAAUGCGCAGAGAUAUGGAGGAACACCAGUGGCGAAGGCGACUUUCUGGUCUGUAACUGACGCUGAUGUGCGAAAGCGUGGGGA
rnacentral:rRNA from 1 species